GUAGAUCGUUUGGCGAUAAGC
rnacentral:miRNA from 1 species